GGAUUAGAUACCCUGGUAGUCCACGCCGUAAACGAUGUCAACUAGCUGUUUGUGUUCUUGAAACGUGAGUAGCGUAGCUAACGCGCUAAGUUGACCGCCUGGGGAGUACGGCCGCAAGGUUAAAACUCAAAUGAAUUGACGGGGGCCCGCACAAGCGGUGGAGCAUGUGGUUUAAUUCGAUGCAACGCGAAGAACCUUACCUACACUUGACAUGCAGAGAACUUUCUAGAGAUAGAUUGGUGCCUUCGGGAACUCUGACACAGGUGCUGCAUGGCUGUCGUCAGCUCGUGCCG
rnacentral:rRNA from 1 species